rnacentral:rRNA from 1 species
UACAGAGGUCUCAAGCGUUGUUCGGAUUCAUUGGGCGUAAAGGGUGCGUAGGCGGCGCGGUAAGUCGGGUGUGAAAUCUCGGAGCUUAACUCCGAAACUGCAUUCGAUACUGCCGUGCUUGAGGACUGGAGAGGAGACUGGAAUUUACGGUGUAGCGGUGAAAUGCGUAGAUAUCGUAACGAAGACCAGUGGCGAAGGCGGGUCUCUGGACAGUUCCUGACGCUGAGGCACGAAGGUCAGGGGAGCAAACGGG